GCACCCGGGGCUGUCGUCGUCGUCGGGCGACCAGAAGGAGGACGGCCUCUUGUGGUGGAGCUCCCGGCGAACGCAGCGGGGACACGGCUGGGCUUUCUGACGACACGCGGUGUGGAAAACGGCGCCGCAGCCGCCGCACCUGCGGAACACAAGAACCACACGGCGCCAACGGUCUGAGCUCGGUGAAUAUUCGCCGCUCGCUUCCAUCAAUGUUUCCCCUCCUCGGCUCAGACUCUUCUAGGAAUCAGUCCUGAUCGGCUCUUAUCGCUCUGCUGACUUGUCGGUGGCAAAAGCUCUGGACUGUGUUAGCCGUACAUGUCGUUCAAAUCCCUCGGGCCCUCAGCGGCCGACCGGUGUUACUGACGAGCAGCGGUGCCUCCAACACGAGGGCCAGGAGGGGAAAUAAAUCUAUCUUCAUCAUUUCUGGUGUCGUAUCACUUUGAGUCCUCACACCCCUGUGAGUUUUCCGACGCCCUCUGUUCUGGAGGCUUAUUACAGAGGAAAGAGAACAUUCGGUGAGUCUCCAGAGAAGCAUAAAAAAGUACACGACUUGUUUGAUGUACAAGUGCUUUUAGGUGCACUCGGGGAAAAAAAAGAAGAGCAAGGUUCUUGAAACAACUGGCUGCCUUUUGAAGAACCUCUAGAGAAGCUUCUCAGAAGCACAUUUUAAAGGUUAACCCUAAAACACAUGCUGACUCAGAGUCAAUCUGGGCAGCACAAACUACAAUAAAGAAUAUUCCACUUUAGAUAGGAAUACUUAAAAUUGGGUAGAAAAACCGAAAGAAUACGUACACGCUGAUUGGCCCUGAGACGUGUCUACCUUUGACAAGUUAGAGCAAAUAAAAUCUAAAUCAGACAUAUGUACAAGGGAUAUCCAGCCCUAGUAAAUGUUCAAACUAUAUUGAAAGGUUAUCCGAGGGUCCGUACCUCCUGGUUGCGUUGUCCUGGAAGGGGUAGAUGACCUGUUCGUUGUGGCAGAGCUCGCAGAUGAAGCCUUUCUCUCGACACAAACUGCAGCUGAAAACGUGGGAGCUGGCGAACUUGAUGACCUUGGACAGGAAGGGAGCCAGUUUGCCAUCGAUCACCUGGAGGGUGAGGAGAGGACGGUCAACAAUAACAGAGACUCUCAGCCGUAGAAAAGUGUCAACCAUACAAGUUUUGAUUACAUUCAGACAAUUUUGUCAAAUUUUGGGGGGUAAAAGAAAUGUAUAUUGACAUAUCAUCUGCAUAGAGGUGACAUGAUACACCUUUAAAACUACGUAUGGAGAAGCAUAAAUGAGGUAAACAAGACGGGGCCGAGCACAGAACCUUGUGGAACACCACUUAAAUGUUCAAAGUCUAGUUCACACUACAGGAUUUUUAGCCUGAUGUUCCACUCUCCAACAAGUUGUCAGUUGUUACAGGUCAGUUGUGUAGUUUGAACUCGCAAGACCUGUAAGACAGCAAGUCGUGUAGUCUGAACUUAACUUCAGAGGCAGUGUGAAUUGAAGACUUGUCUGUAUGAACCUUUACUUGUAACAACGUAUUCCUAUAAUAUGGUGUUGCCCCCCUUUUAUUUGAGUUAAAGUUUUAAGUAGGUCUUCCGCCUCUUCAUUUAAAGACCAAUUUCAAAAUUACCACAAGAAAGUCGUAUCCUCUUUGGCUUUGAGGAAAGACUGGAAAACAGGAGGAGAGGAAACUUGAGGGGAAGGAAGGAGGGAAGACAGCAAAUGAGGUUGAACGCCUUUUAAUGGCAACGCUUGGAAAGUUCCUUAAAGAACUGAGGGCGGGGGGUUUUGGCAGCAGGGGGUUCUAGUUGUACUGUAGUGAAUAGACAGUAGAUGACUCACAGUUAGUGAAAAGAAAAGGCUGUGCAGAAUUGUUCAGAAAAUAAACGAUAAAUAUGGU